UACGUAGGGUGCGAGCGUUAAUCGGAAUUACUGGGCGUAAAGCGUGCGCAGGCGGUGAGCUGUGUCCGGUGUGAAAGCCCCGGGCUUAACCUGGGAAUGGCAUUGGAAACUGGCUCGCUGGAGUGUGGCAGAGGGGGGUGGAAUUCCGCGUGUAGCAGUGAAAUGCGUAGAGAUGCGGAGGAACACCGAUGGCGAAGGCAGCCCCCUGGGCUAACACUGACGCUCAGGCACGAAAGCGUGGGGAGCAAACAGG
rnacentral:rRNA from 1 species